rnacentral:misc_RNA from 1 species
UCAGUCAUUGCUAUCUUAGAGGUUGAUUUUUUUUUUCCUUUUAAUUUUAAUGUCGCCUUUUGGUUAUGGCGAUAUUUGUCAUUUGAGUUUUAUUGGAAACUUGAGGAACUGCAACUGUAUUAGCUGCAUGUAUUAUAUAAUGAAUUUAUGAUGUUGUUUUUCCUGAUGUCCGUGAUAUUAUAUAAUUUUUUCCAUGUAAUAUCACUUGUUUUGCAUCUAUGAACUAGCUUAAGGAAUAAUUAUGCAAGGAUGAAGUUGUUUGUUUGUUG